rnacentral:misc_RNA from 1 species
CACACACGUUGAGCCCCGCCCCGCCCGCCCCGUCAGAGACCCAUCGCACGCCGCGAAGCAGCCGCGCACACGCGUGGCGGCAAUGCGCCAGCUCAGGCAUGCGGGCAGCGUCUGCGCCCCAAACACCCCCCGCCCCCGCCUCGCAGGCUGCCUCACCGUCGCCCCCAGCCAUGCUGACCGCCACGCGAUGCAUCGCCCGAGGUCGCUCAGGCUUCCCUACACCAGCAGGCAGUGCGAGGGCCGGGUGGGACACGUUCGAGUCACGCUGACACUCCGCCCAGCAUACGGACGGCACAGGCGUGCGCACAGUGGCGGAUCUCUCCCCAACGCAGCGCCAUCCAGCACCUCACCGCCGACAUCAUUAGCGAUAAGUCGCUCUGGCCCCCAUACGUCGUAGGCGCCUGACCCUGCCACCAUGAAGGGUGGCUCGGCGCCGGCAUGUAUAAGGGGACUGCCAGGCCUCUCCACCGAGUGGG